CAUGGCUCAGGAUGAACGCUGGCGGCGUGCUUAACACAUGCAAGUCGAACGGAGUUAUUUAGAAGCUUGCUUUUGGAUAACUUAGUGGCGGACGGGUGAGUAACGCGUGGGUAACCUGCCUUAUACCGGGGGACAACAGUUGGAAACGACUGCUAAUACCGCAUAAGCGCACAGGAAGGCAUCAUUCAGUGUGAAAAACUCCGGUGGUAUAAGAUGGACCCGCGUCUGAUUAGCCAGUUGGCGGUGUAACGGACCACCAAAGCGACGAUCAGUAGCCGGCCUGAGAGGGCAAACGGCCACAUUGGGACUGAGACACGGCCCAAACUCCUACGGGAGGCAGCAGUGGGGAAUAUUGCACAAUGGAGGAAACUCUGAUGCAGCGACGCCGCGUGAGUGAAGAAGUAUUUCGGUAUGUAAAGCUCUAUCAGCAGGAAAGAAAAUGACGGUACCUGACUAAGAAGCCCCGGCUAACUACGUGCCAGCAGCCGCGGUAAUACGUAGGGGGCAAGCGUUAUCCGGAUUUACUGGGUGUAAAGGGAGCGUAGACGGCUUGGCAAGUCUGAAGUGAAAGCUCGGGGCUCAACCCCGGAACUGCUUUGGAAACUGUCUGGCUAGAGUGCAGGAGAGGUAAGCGGAAUUCCUAGUGUAGCGGUGAAAUGCGUAGAUAUUAGGAGGAACACCAGAGGCGAAGGCGGCUUACUGGAC
rnacentral:rRNA from 1 species